UACGUAGGGUGCAAGCGUUGUCCGGAAUUAUUGGGCGUAAAGAGCUCGUAGGCGGUCUGUCGCGUCGGCUGUGAAAACCCGGGGCUCAACCCAGGAACUGCACUCGAAACUUCUUUUCUUGAGUGCCGGAGAGGAAAGCGGAAUACCUGGUGUAGAGGUGAAAUUCGUAGAUAUCAGGUGGAACACCAGUGGCGAAGGCGGCUUUCUGGACGGUAACUGACGCUGAGACGCGAAAGCGUGGGGAGCAAACAGG
rnacentral:rRNA from 1 species